GCUCCCAUGGCGUAGUGGUCACUGCACUCGCCUUGCACGCGGGAGACCCGGGUUCGAUUCCUGGCGGAGUCA
rnacentral:tRNA from 1 species